rnacentral:sRNA from 1 species
CCAUAUCUACUUCACAUUGUUCUCAGUCAAACACUAACGAAAUGCGCAUGGAAUGGUGUUUCCAGCAGGAAAGAUCAAACUUUUGUGGAACUUGUAUAAGCAACAUAUGAGAAGGAGUUGAGAUAACUCAAAGCUGAACGGAAAUCAAGUCGAAAUGAGCAGUGUGGCAGGGUGAACUUGCUCAUCUUUAAACCCUAAGAGUACAAUUUGAUGAGUUUUGGAUAUUUCUUUUUUGUUUCUGUUUUUUUCUCGAUUGGGAUUUUUGUAACAAAUUCAUAAUUAGGCAUGUGUAUGAUCUGUUUCUUUUAAGUUGUGGUUUUUUCUUCCUCGUUCUUUUUGACAGGAAAUUUCUUUGCUCUGUUAUUCGUGGCACCACGGAAAUGCAACACUUCUUUGCUACAACGUGUGCU